UACGGAGGGUGCAAGCGUUAUCCGGAUUUACUGGGUUUAAAGGGUGUGUAGGCGGGCUUUUAAGUCAGUGGUGAAGUCUUUCCGCUUAACGGAAAAACUGCCAUUGAUACUAUUAGUCUUGAAUAUUGUUGAGGUAGGCGGAAUAAGUCAUGUAGCGGUGAAAUGCAUAGAUAUGACUUAGAACACCAAUUGCGAAGGCAGCUUACUAAACAAUGAUUGACGCUGAGGCACGAAAGCGUGGGGAUCAAACAGG
rnacentral:rRNA from 1 species